AGGAUGAAUGUUGGAGCAGGAGGGGCAGGGGGAGAAUCGGUCGGUCCGAGGGGCCACGUCUCGUGUAAUUUUCAUCGAGUGGGUGGAUACCCAUUAUUUCGCAUUACAGGCUCCUUACCGGCACCGAUCGUCCUGUGGAAUCGCGGCCCCUAUCGCGACUUUGCGUUACGUUCGCACAUCUUCCGCCUGUUAACACGCUUGCCAACGCCGCGACUUUAAUCUUCCGCGCGAGAGUCAAAGAGGAGGAGGAGGAGGAGAAACGUUUCUGGAAUAUCGUCGACGAGGGAACGCGCGAGCAGCGUGCUUUUAAAAUUCGACGAUCGAGAAACGCGAUAAUUCUCUCACGCCUUUUUCCUAACUCUCUUAUUACGUUCAAUAGUAGGCUAAUUGCGCUAUAAUCGCAUCAUGUUUGAAUUGAACAGUAAAUGUAACUAUGUACAUAUCGGUAAUUAUGUCGCGAUUUCAGAUCUGCGGCUUUUUUUAGAUUUUGAGCUUUCUGGUUGAUAAAUGUCAUGCUUUUGGUUUUCUGGGAUCGAUCGUGUUAUGCGCUUUUGCUUCGAGUUUCAGGUCUGUCCCCGAAGAAGUGAACUAUAACGUUCAUGAAAUGUGAACGCAAAUGUGUUGCAAUUUACAUCUUGAGUACAUUAUUGAAAUCAGAAAAUUAUCCCUUCAGAUUUUCAUACUCUAUCGUGCAACACCACGAACGAAAUUUAUAUCUUGUAUAGGUUUGUCAUAAAUAUGGAAACUUUUAAUGCGGUAACAAGAAACAGGGUAAUAGCGUAACCCCGUCAAAAUUAGCAGGAUAAGUGGAAUAAGUAGUUUCAGCGUCGCUCGUGGUUGGGAGAUUAAAAUUAAUACUAGAAGGACGUUAUCAAAAUUAUAAAAAUGAAUAUAAUAAAGAAAAUUGAAGAAACUUGGAGAAAAUUCUGUGCGGAAACACGUCGUAUAUAAUAAGCAAACCGGUUGCUUUAGACAGUAGGAAGAAAGCAACCGUGAUAAAUCAUUUUGUAACAAGGUCGUCGCUUCUAGCAUAUUAAUAUGGUCAUGAGAUAGAGUAAAUAAUUGAUGAAGAUGAAGAAUGAAAACGAGGUAGAAACACACCGACGGGAUACCACAAAAACUAGAGAAGUUUACUUAGAGCCAGGCAAUAAGCUUAAUGUAUACUCAACGCGCUGAUAUAAUUAUAGUGAUCGAUGAAUUGACAAGAAAUCGAGUAGAACUUGCAAAUCUGUAAUUUUGCAUUUACCUACGAAGAAAAAAAAAUACAGGUAAUUUCCAUACCAAUUGUUAAAAAAGAAACACCAUAGAAAUUUAUAUAACUAGACAACAAUUUAGGUUUCCUUCUAAAAACUAGAAAAAAAAUUCCCUAGCAUCUCGUCGCUUUAAUGAGGAACGACGCAAUUCGUAUGUAUUACGGAAACUCCGCAAAUUUCUUCCUCACUUAAGGGCAAAUUUAUUUACGUGUCGACUAUCACGAGAAGAUAGCGAGAAACGCGAGCACGCAACGAUUCCCAUGGUGUCCCAUGAUGCGCGGCGGUUUGCAUGGUGUAGAAGAAGAAAAAACGCCGGCUCGACUGGCGAAAUACAGCGUAGAACGCGAGCGGUGUGGAAGACUGUAGUUAGCGACUAUUAAUAUCAUCGAUCGGGAUCGAUAGUUGCCUGCGAGGCGUCAUAAUGAUACGGUGGAUUCAACGGGGCCCCAUCGAUGCUCUUCCGAUACCCGGCCACGUACACACCAUACACCCGGCUACAAGUGGCGCCACUAACGAUCACCGCAAGAUCAUGUACGAUCGAAUAGUUUAACCGACUAUGGUACGUUAGGUCGAAUGGUCUGUUUUCGAUCAGUGGUUCAUGCCAAGAAAAAAUAUUUGAUGAAACGAAAUUAAAUUGGACGAUUUAUGCGUGGGGAAAAAGAACAAUUAUGUAUACGACGAAGAGUGGUUAUUGUUAUUUGCAGUUACGAGGGAGCUUUUAUUUUCGCGGAAGCGUAAACGAUGCAUGGAAGGAUAUAACGAAAUGCAAAAUAUAAUGAUAAAUAUGAUUGAAAGUAUGAUAUAUAUAGAUAUAAUAAUAUGAUUUUUACUCAUAAAAUAUUUCCGCACGUGUUACGAUAAAAACAUUUGUACCACUUGAGUGCAGUGGUAAAUAUUGCGAUUUCAUCUCUGGGAAACCGAUAAAAAUAAAAGCACGUUACGAACACAGUAAGAGAUACGUGAUGUGUCAUCGUAAGGCGUAUUUUGUGGUACAUGGUAACUGAGAUAAAAAAUGCAAUAAAAAAAUUGUCGUAUAAAUAGAAAAGAUGUAUGUUCAUACGUAUAAGGUAAUAUUAAAAGAUACGUGAGUACGUA